rfam:Turicibacter sp. H121, complete genome.
CAAAAUCUGAGAUAUGCGUAAGGUGAUUAGUUCUUUAAAUCCGAACACUUUUGAUAAGGGAAUCCGAUUCUCUAAUACCGUGUUGAAUGCCUAGCUUUUUCCACCUAGGACUCCUAACGUAUUAGAUACGAUGCCCACCUGCUAAUUUAGCGGGUUUAUAUCCUAACACCUACGGUAUUUUGGAGAAACA